GAUGUCUAAGCGAGUUAAACUUUGUGCUGUUGUUGGCUGCAAGACUCGAGAAGGGGGACUGCAUGCAAUGCCAUAAGUGGAAAAAGAAAAUAAUCUGUGGCUAGACUUCAUUUUCAAGGGACAUGUGCCAGAAGACCACGGCAGAUUUCUGUUUGUGUGUUCCAAACAUUUUACCACGGACAUGUUUAUGAACUUCUCUCAAGUCCAACACGGAUAUACCUCCAAGCUAAUGCUAAACCCGGGAUCAAUACCAACCAUCCGGGAGCAGGCCAGUGAGGACACAUCCAAUUUUGAAGCUGCCAGCACCUCACAUGCUACCAGCAGAUUACCUGUGAUGACAGAUUCUGCAUGUCAGACUGACCCACCCAAGUACCGUACUGUUCGUACACAGCUAUCCUCGAGGACUCUUGGUUCACAUCGAAGUACAGCUGUCCAGGCUAAAAUUCCCUGCAGAAGCGUUGGUGUCGAAACACUUCCGUUGGAAGUGCCCUUUUUAACAUCCACCCCCUUAAAGAGACCACCAAAGAGGCCCCGUGUGGAUCUUGAAGAGGAAUAUGAA